UACGUAGGAGGCAAGCGUUGUCCGGAUUUACUGGGUGUAAAGGGUCCGCAGGCGGACAAGUAAGUCGGGGGUGAAAUCCUGCAGCUUAACUGCAGAACUGCCUUCGAUACUGCCUGUCUUGAAUACGGGAAAGGGUGACGGAAUUCCAGGUGUAGCGGUGAAAUGCUUAGAUAUCUGGAAGAACACCGGUUGCGAAGGCUGUUGCCUGGCCCGUUAUUGACGCUCAGGGACGAAAGCGUGGGGAUCAAACAGGAUUAGAUACCCUGGUAGUCCACGCCGUAAACGAUGGAUACUCGGUGUCGGGCCGUAUGGUUCGGUGCCUAAGCUAACGCAGUAAGUAUCCCACCUGGGAAGUACGAUCGCAAGGUUGAA
rnacentral:rRNA from 1 species